rnacentral:rRNA from 1 species
AAAUUGAAGAGUUUGAUCAUGGCUCAGAUUGAACGCUGGCGGCAGGCCUAACACAUGCAAGUCGAGCGGUAGCACAGAGAGCUUGCUCUCGGGUGACGAGCGGCGGACGGGUGAGUAAUGUCUGGGAAACUGCCUGAUGGAGGGGGAUAACUACUGGAAACGGUAGCUAAUACCGCAUAAUGUCGCAAGACCAAAGUGGGGGACCUUCGGGCCUCAUGCCAUCAGAUGUGCCCAGAUGGGAUUAGCUAGUAGGUGGGGUAACGGCUCACCUAGGCGACGAUCCCUAGCUGGUCUGAGAGGAUGACCAGCCACACUGGAACUGAGACACGGUCCAGACUCCUACGGGAGGCAGCAGUGGGGAAUAUUGCACAAUGGGCGCAAGCCUGAUGCAGCCAUGCCGCGUGUGUGAAGAAGGCCUUCGGGUUGUAAAGCACUUUCAGCGGGGAGGAAGGCGUUAAGGUUAAUAACCUUGGCGAUUGACGUUACCCGCAGAAGAAGCACCGGCUAACUCCGUGCCAGCAGCCGCGGUAAUACGGAGGGUGCAAGCGUUAAUCGGAAUUACUGGGCGUAAAGCGCACGCAGGCGGUCUGUCAAGUCGGAUGUGAAAUCCCCGGGCUCAACCUGGGAACUGCAUUCGAAACUGGCAGGCUAGAGUCUUGUAGAGGGGGGUAGAAUUCCAGGUGUAGCGGUGAAAUGCGUAGAGAUCUGGAGGAAUACCGGUGGCGAAGGCGGCCCCCUGGACAAAGACUGACGCUCAGGUGCGAAAGCGUGGGGAGCAAACAGGAUUAGAUACCCUGGUAGUCCACGCCGUAAACGAUGUCGAUUUGGAGGUUGUGCCCUUGAGGCGUGGCUUCCGGAGCUAACGCGUUAAAUCGACCGCCUGGGGAGUACGGCCGCAAGGUUAAAACUCAAAUGAAUUGACGGGGGCCCGCACAAGCGGUGGAGCAUGUGGUUUAAUUCGAUGCAACGCGAAGAACCUUACCUGGUCUUGACAUCCACAGAACUUUCCAGAGAUGGAUUGGUGCCUUCGGGAACUGUGAGACAGGUGCUGCAUGGCUGUCGUCAGCUCGUGUUGUGAAAUGUUGGGUUAAGUCCCGCAACGAGCGCAACCCUUAUCCUUUGUUGCCAGCGGUCCGGCCGGGAACUCAAAGGAGACUGCCAGUGAUAAACUGGAGGAAGGUGGGGAUGACGUCAAGUCAUCAUGGCCCUUACGACCAGGGCUACACACGUGCUACAAUGGCAUAUACAAAGAGAAGCGACCUCGCGAGAGCAAGCGGACCUCAUAAAGUAUGUCGUAGUCCGGAUUGGAGUCUGCAACUCGACUCCAUGAAGUCGGAAUCGCUAGUAAUCGUAGAUCAGAAUGCUACGGUGAAUACGUUCCCGGGCCUUGUACACACCGCCCGUCACACCAUGGGAGUGGGUUGCAAAAGAAGUAGGUAGCUUAACCUUCGGGAGGGCGCUUACCACUUUGUGAUUCAUGACUGGGGUGAAGUCGUAACAAGGUAACCGUAGGGGAACCUGCGGUUGGAUCACCUCCUUACC